CCUACGGGCGGCAGCAGUGAGGAAUAUUGGUCAAUGGACGCAAGUCUGAACCAGCCAUGCCGCGUGCAGGAAGACGGCUCUAUGAGUUGUAAACUGCUUUUGUACGAGGGCAAACGCAGAUUCGCGUACCUGUCUGAAAGUACUGUACGAAUAAGGAUCGGCUAACUCCGUGCCAGCAGCCGCGGUAAUACGGAGGAUUCAAGCGUUAUCCGGAUUUAUUGGGUUUAAAGGGUGCGUAGGCGGUCGGAUAAGUUAGAGGUGAAAUCCCGGGGCUCAACUUCGGAAUUGCCUCUGAUACUGUUCGGCUAGAGAGUAGUUGCGGUAGGCGGAAUGUAUGGUGUAGCGGUGAAAUGCUUAGAGAUCGUACAGAACACCGAUUGCGAAGGCAGCUUACCAAGCUACUUCUGACGUUGAGGCACGAAAGCGUGGGGAGCGAACAGGAUUAGAUACCCCUGUAGUC
rnacentral:rRNA from 1 species